CCUACGGGAGGCAGCAGUAAGGAAUAUUGGUCAAUGGAGGCAACUCUGAACCAGCCAUGCCGCGUGCAGGAAGACAGCCCUAUGGGUCGUAAACUGCUUUUAUACGGGAAUAAACUUUGAUUCGUGAAUCAAGCUGAAUGUACCGUAAGAAUAAGGAUCGGCUAACUCCGUGCCAGCAGCCGCGGUAAUACGGAGGAUCCAAGCGUUAUCCGGAUUUAUUGGGUUUAAAGGGAGCGUAGGCGGCCUAUUAAGUCAGGGGUGAAAGACGGUGGCUCAACCAUCGCAGUGCCUUUGAUACUGAUGGGCUUGAAUAUAGUUGAGGUAGGCGGAAUGUGACAAGUAGCGGUGAAAUGCAUAGAUAUGUCACAGAACACCGAUUGCGAAGGCAGCUUACUAAGCUAUGAUUGACGCUGAGCUCGAAGACGCGGGAGUACAACAAGAGUAGUAUACCUACGUAGUACCGACCGACCCGUAACCGACUAGAUAACUACGUAUGUUGGUCGAUAUAC
rnacentral:rRNA from 1 species